rnacentral:sRNA from 1 species
GCUGGGGGCGAUGGCACACACCUGUCAUCCCAGCAGCUUGGGAGGCUGAGGCAGGAGGAUCAUGAGUUCAAGGCCAGCCUCAGCCACAGCGAGGCCCUAAGCAUCUCAGUGAGACCCUGUCUCUA